rfam:Myotis brandtii contig228487, whole genome shotgun sequence.
GGUGUUUUUUGGAUGACACACCCUGAAUCAGGCCCCCUCCUCUCUGGUUCCAGGUGUGUCACCCAAAAACCGCA